CACGGAGUUAGCCGAUCCUUAUUCUUUAGGUACAUUCAGCCCACUACACGUAGUGGGGUUUAUUCCCUAACAAAAGCAGUUUACAACCCAUAGGGCAGUCGUCCUGCACGCGGCAUGGCUGGUUCAGGGUUGCCCCCAUUGACCAAUAUUCCUUACUGCUGCCUCCCGUAGGAGUCUGGUCCGUGUCUCAGUACCAGUGUGGGGGAUUCUCCUCUCAGAGCCCCUAGACAUCGUCGCCUUGGUGGGCCGUUACCCCACCAACUAGCUAAUGUCACGCGAGCCCAUCCAUAUCCUAUGAAUAUUUAACUGCAUCCCGAUGCCGGGUUGCAGUGUCAUGCGGUGUUAAUCCGGAUUUCUCCGGGCUAUCCCCCUGAUAUGGGCAGGUUGCUCACGCGUUACGCACCCGUGCGCCACUCUCACCAUCGGUAGCAAGCUACCGAUGGAUCCCCGUCCGACUUGCAUGUAUUAGGCCUUGCCGCUAGCGUUCACUCCUGAGCCCAA
rnacentral:rRNA from 1 species